UACGUAGGGUGCGAGCGUUGUCCGGAAUUAUUGGGCGUAAAGGGCUCGUAGGCGGUUUGUCGCGUCGGGAGUGAAAACACACAGCUUAACUGUGUGCUUGCUUCCGAUACGGGCAGACUAGAGGUAUGCAGGGGAGAACGGAAUUCCGGGUGUAGUGGUGAAAUGCGUAGAGAUCCGGAGGAACACCAGUGGCGAAGGCGACACGCUGGGCCGUACCUGACACUGAUGCGCGACAGCAUGGGGAGCAAACAGG
rnacentral:rRNA from 1 species